GGAUUGUAACUCAGUGGUAGAGCACUUGCCUAGUAUGUGUGAAGCCCUGGGUUUGAUCCUCAGCACCA
rnacentral:tRNA from 1 species